GUGAGCCGAGAGGACAGGACUGGAAGGUGGCUAGGGAUGUGUAGCGGGAGAAGGGUCAGUCUCGAUCUUCCCCUGUGAAGCUGUCAGCGACCAUCAGAGGGUACGCCGGGGUGGCGCGGGGACGAUGCCAGGAGCCUUGGAGUGCAGAAGGCUUCGACUCCCCGCACCCACAGAGUUGCGUAGGGAACCACGGGCAACCGACUCUUCCUUGUCAGCCCCUCCCUAGCUUCUGCGGCUUCACACCUCCAUUCCGCGCCGGGCAGAGUCUGGCGGCUCCUGGAGCACGGAAGGCCCACAAGCGUACCCGUGGGGCCGCGGCCAAGGCUGGACUUUGAGCCCAGGACCCCAGGACCGCCCUUAGAAGGCUGCGCCGGCCCGCGAGAGGUCUGGGAUCUGGACAGCGCGGGGGCUGGCUCACAGGGACUGGUGAAGGAAACUGCCGGGACCCCUGCCACAGCCAUGGCUCCCCGCAAAGACGACCUCGAGCAGGCACUGCGGGCAGUUUGUACUAGCGCCUAGAACCCUGACACCGGGAAUUAGUCUCUUGGAAGAGCUAGCGAUUGGAGGCUCAGGAGUUAGGCUGUUUCCUUGUUAACCAACAAAAUCAGGUGAAACCAACGAAGUCAGGAAGCCUAAAGACAUAUAUGUACAGAUAUCUAACCCUUUACGCUAAUUAUUUAGAUUUUUAAUAAAUCUAUCUUAAUGUUUAGGUAUGAAGACGGGAGGAACUGUGGAAUUUUAGUCAAGUUACAGGGAAGAAACGCUUUCUAAAAAAAGAAAAACAUUGCUCACAUGUGACCUCACAGUCUUAUUUAACCCAUGGAACCAAAAUAUAUCAGAGUUUGUAUCAAACUAAUCUUAUAAAUUUUCAGCAACCCCAUCCAUUCACUCACUCCCCCUCCAGGAUGAGGAAGCUCGUACAAUGGGAUGUAAUCCUCAGAGAAAUUUAGGAAAUAACUUGUAUAUGGUUGGAAGGCUGGAUAAAAAUACUUUGGGCAGGCGUGGUAGCUCACGUCUGUAAUCGCAACACUGCAAGGCCGAGGCAGGCAGAUCGCUUUAGCUCUGUAGUUCGAAACCAGCUUGGGCAACAGUAAGACCCUGUCUCUACAAAAAAAAAAAAAAAAAAAAA
rnacentral:lncRNA from 1 species